CCUGCCCCGAGAGGCAUUGCAGGUGUGGCUAGCACACCGCAUGUGUGUCAGCAGAGAGAAGAAAGGUUACCUAUGUGCUCAGUGUUCUGACCUAUAAACACCUGAAUGUUUAGUAGCCUAACAUU
ensembl:snoRNA LOC120094508 small nucleolar RNA SNORA17